UCUGUCUCUAGACCGCAGCUGACCACAGGAAACUGAAACCAUGGAAAGCGAAACCAUGAAUACAAGUGUAAGUGAGUAAGCAUGUAGUCCCAGGAUCUACUGGGCACAUUUGGAGGCUAAAAGGGAGCCAGCUUUAAAUGACCUUGCAUGAAACAAAGCAGAGGGUGACAAUGGACAAUGAAUGAACACAAAGCUGCAUGAAUGCAUAUCAACAUGAAAUUUGACAUCACCAUGUGGAGAGUAUCCAGAAAGCUUUCAGAGAUUGGGAGAUAGAGGCCACAGGCAAAUGACUGAAAACCCCAAUGGCAUCAAGAUGUUCAAAGCAAGGAAACUACUGGAACGUGUGCACUAUAAAAAUGAUGAGGAAAACAAGACACACAGCUAGGGAAAAAGAGGGUAAACCUGAGAGAGGAGUAACAACGUCUCAGGUCACCAGAUUGGAGCAGAAAGAUGGAGGAUGGAAGGACCAAAGUCUCCAGAAAAAGAAAAUUGAUGGGUUAUCUGAUGUUCUGAACAUUUGGAAAACAACAUUCAUUUGCUAGAUCUUGAAGUAUUUGAAAAAAA